UGGGACACAUUUGUGGGAGGCGCAGAGA
rnacentral:piRNA from 1 species